UUCUGGCUCAGAACGAACGCUGGUGGCGUGUCUAUACAUGCAAGUCGAGCGAGGCAGCAAUGCCGAGCGGCGAACGGGUGAGUAACGCGUAAGCAAUCCGCCCCAUAUCAGGAAAUACCCGUGCCAACGCGCGGUUAAUGUCCAGGAGAGUGGCCUUCCGCAUGGAGGGUUGACUAGAGAUUUAUCGGUAUGGGAUGAGCUUGCGUCCGAUUAGCUAGUUGGCGGGGCAACGGCCCACCAAGGCGACGAUCGGUAGCCGGCCUGAGAGGGUGAUCGGCCACAUUGGGACUGAGAUACGGCCCAGACUCCUACGGGAGGCAGCAGUAGGGAAUAUUGCACAAUGGGGGAAACCCUGAUGCAGCAACGCCACGUGUGGGAAGAAGCAUUUCGGUGUGUAAACCACUGUCAUGAGGGAAUAAGGCCCUUAUUCGUAAGGGAUUGAAUGUACCUUGAGAGGAAGCACCGGCAAACUUCGUGCCAGCCGCCGC
rnacentral:rRNA from 1 species